CCUUCCACAUCUCAAAAAACAUUUAAAAAGUUUAAAAGCCCUUCUUGAAAAUUGGCUGUAAGACGUUUAAGACAGUCGAGUAGAAUUUACAUUGGAGAUUGUUUUAAACGAUGGAGAGAUUUUCGUGAUCUAAACGGCCUGAAAACGGAUGAAGAGUUGGCAAAGUAUCUUUUGGACAGGUAAGUUAUUUAUUGUUUUUUGGAUAAAUUUCCUUAAAAUCUUUCUUUCACUGAAAGAAGUAAUAGAGCAAACAAGCUUUGUAUGCUUGGUGUCCUAUUGGCUAAUGUAGCAUUAGCUUGAAUGCUAAGUCGACAUGAAUCGAUGCUAGUCGAACUAUUUAUGCUAUAUUUGGAAGAAGUUUGAGUAACGAAAGGGGAUUUACGUUUUUUUUAUAUGGGAGCUAAUGAUUAGUGGCGUUUAACUAUAGGCCACAUCAGUAUAUUGUUUUAAGCUCUUGUUUAUAACUUCCCCGUUAGCGGGGUUCAGUUAGCAUCUUGAAUGCUGUAUUAGAUGUUUACACUUUCCUGACCUGCGUGUUUGAUUAAAAUGAGUAAUCAGCAGCUCAUGUAGCACUUGUAGAAGUCUGAGGAGAUGAUUCAGCAGUUAGAAUUAGGUGUGAUUGAUCAGGAACGUAUCCAAAACCUUACGUUUCCAUUAGCACUGAAAGACAUAUUGUGCUAACCUGGGUGGGCCACGUGUACAGAUUACCGUCUGAUUUUGUGGUCUUACCUACAUGAAAACUCCAUAUUAAAAUAAAAGGAAUGAUAAUCAGCUCGUGCAGAAAUCUGUGAAGGCUGGGGAGACUUGUUUUAUUACAGUGAAACAAAGAUAUCUGUAACCAUUUUUGGUUUUGCUGCAGGUCGGCGAACACUUAUGAGUUUUUUGUAAGUACAUUAUUUGUGUUUUCAUAUAAAAAAAAGUGAAUGUAACUAAUCGCCACAUAUGUCUUUUAGGACAUGUGGAUCGGUCUACUCCAUCAUGUGACCGGAGAACAUGAGUGGUCUCUGGAUGCUUGUCAGCAUGAUCCUUUACUAAGUGACAGAGAGAAAGACUGGAUUCAGAAAGGCUCUACUCCACACAAAGCCCUCAGUGAACGCUGGCUGAAAGAAGUCCCAAAAUAUUUGAAAAUCAGGUACUGUAUUUAAUUAUAGCUAUAAAUAAUAAUAUAAUUGUUCUAAAUAUUAAAUUCUUGUUUUAGAUCUACAGCAAAUUUGGAGGCGUUUCACAACCAUCUCCUAAUGUAUGCAAGCAAAAGAUUCAGUUACAUCCCACCUGUUUACGACGCACGGAUACUGCCUGCUGCACUGGACUACAAUCACCACUCACAUCGAGAAGUGAAGAGGAGAGCAGAUGGAUCUAUACAAUACCAUAAAAUAUUCAACAAAAAAUCAAGAUGCUGGAGGCUGUAUUCUGAGAAGGUGGCAAAAGUCUACUCCUACAUCCCAGAGAUCCAAACCGUGAUCGUCAACCAAUGUUUGACAAGCAAGAAAGGUCUUCCUCGACGCUACAAGCUAAGGCCUGAGGAUCCAAGGCGUUAUGGUUUGCUGUCCGGAGUCCCUGCACCAUCAACAGAGGAACUUCUACAACACCUACGGACUCGCGGUGAUGGUAAAACUUUGCCACAGACAUAAGUGUUGGGGGAGGCAAGAGAAAACCCAAAACCUUCUUUAUUUUUGUUUCCUGUGUUUUUUUUUUUUUUUUGGUUUGAAAAUAAAGAUAUAUUUUGGGAAAAUAAGGACUAAUAAUUAAAAAAUGUAUGUAAAAUGCUGGAGGUAGACUUAAGUUUUUGUUGUUGUGCAGGAGUUUUAACAUUUAUGGUAUUUUUACAAAUGCAACAGAGUUUUGCUUUAGAACACUUUAUUAGAGCAUCAAACAAAAAUAUAUAAAAAAUAAACUUAUGUAAAAUAUCAAAUAUAUACAUUUAUUUACAAUCGUCUUGGAAUAAAACCAGUGUAGUUACCACUGGGGUCAGGGAAUUUUUCCCUUAUCCUCCAGACCACAGCUUGGGAAUACUACCCUGCGCCCUCCACCAAGUUUUCCAUGCUGCCAUGCUACAAACUGUCUGUAAGCUGCAUGGCGGAACUGUCUGUUGUCCUCACCAGGGUCCGGAUCAUCAUAAACUGCUCGAAACUCAUUCCACAAUGUGCUGGCCAGGCGAAGAACACCAUUUUGCAGAAUAAACUCCUCCAUGUGUGGUACAGUUGAAAUACAUGUCUGGGGAGGCUGUUGGCAGCAUUUCCUUUCCAAAUCAGUUGGCAUCUUUCUCCAGUGGGACCAUACACACCAUGAAGUUUGAUUGGAUGUUAGAGGUGUUGUGGCAGGUGGACCAGAGAGGGCAAGUACAUCAAAGAGAACACCAGGGUCUCUGUCCAGCACCAUGGUAAGGACGUCAAUAGCCUGCUGAGGGUUCAGGUUCUGUAUGUGUUGCUACAAAAGUGGAAAGAGAUGCUACAGCAACAGUUUUUAAGAUCAUUUAGUGUAAUUUUGUUAUGCUUACACGUUCAAAGUCUAUUCGCUCUGGAGAGAGAGAGAUCUUCAUCUCCAAGGUCCACGGCUGAGUGUCUCGCACUUCUUCGGCCUCUGGACGCACCACGGCCUCUGGAUGCACCACGACUUUGAGAUGAUGGUGGGCAUCUCCUUUUUGCACCACAUCUUGAGGAUGCAAUAGGAGGUUCAAACUCUUCCUCAGAGGAUUCCUCAAUCACUGAACUCUAAUUUGUAUUAGAAUAAAAAAAAAUAAUACUAAUAUAAAAAGUACUCUUGCAUAUUAAUCCAUUUUGACACAGAUCAGGUUUACAUCUAGUCAAAAUUUGGGCUAAACCAACAAUAAACAGAAACCCUAUGAAAACAACCAUAAUACCACCUUUGUGACAGAAAACCCAUAUUUCCUCAUGUUACACAUGAUUAUAGGAGGACUACACAGAAUGCAGUGUUUAUUCAUGAUUUCCACAUAAAUUAUAUGCUUUGAUAUAUUCAUCCCAUCUUGAAUGGCAAAGCAAUUAAAAAUAAGCUAAUUACUCGUAAUAAAAUGCUAACAAUUUGAUAGGAUUCAUUUUAUUUACAAUAUAGAUUGUCAACUGUUACUGGUAUUUUAAAAUAUGUAUAUAUUUAUAGAUAUUCUUUAUAAAAUGCCUUUUGUAAACAGUAAGUGUUUAAUGUGCUGGUUAAAAACAACUUUCUUACCUCAGAUAACUCCAUUGCUAACACUAGCUCAGCUCUAUUAUGAAGAAGCAAUACUCUGGUGUUGACUCGGCUUUUCCUGCGCGUGCACAUUAGGAGGCGUGGCUUUCGGCUCUUUCAGGAAGGGCGGGGGAGUGAGCAACAGCCGUUCGAAUUUUAAAAUCUCCUCCUCCUCAC